rnacentral:snoRNA from 1 species
GCCUUCCAGAUCCCUCAGCCCUCAAACCUAAACGGUGGUCUGGGUGGCUUAAAGGGAGAAAGGAGGGAAAGCAAAACCGAAAUAGGACUUGGAGUCUUGUGACAAACAAGU